AGUAACGCGUGGUCAACCUUCCGUUGAAUGGGGGAGUAACUAGCCGAAAGGUUAGCUAAUACCGCAUACGAUCUUUCGAAGGCAUCUUUGAAAGAUGAAAGGAGCAAUUCGUUCAACGACGGGACCGCGUCCCAUUAGCUAGAUGGUGGGGUAAUGGCCUACCAUGGCAACGAUGGGUAGCUGGUUUGAGAGAGCGACCAGCCACACUGGGACUGAGAGACGGCCCAG
rnacentral:rRNA from 1 species